AGGACUGCAGGAGGUUGGCCGGAUGGGGAGGGACCACAGAGGGGCUCCAGGGCAUUUCCGGCCUGUCUCACCCAGUCCUGAUCAGCUGGACCCCAGCAGCA